rnacentral:rRNA from 1 species
CCUACGGGUGGCAGCAGUGAGGAAUAUUGGUCAAUGGGCGAGAGCCUGAACCAGCCAAGUCGCGUGAAGGAUGACGGCCCUACGGGUUGUAAACUUCUUUUGUCAGGGAGCAAUUGAGUCCACGUGUGGGCUUAGCGAGAGUAACUGAAGAAAAAGCAUCGGCUAACUCCGUGCCAGCAGCGGCGGUAAUACGAGGGAUGCGAGCGUUAUCCGGAUUAAUUGGGUUUAAAGGGUGCGUAGGCGGAAGAUCAAGUCAGCGGGAAAAAUUCGGGGCUAAACCCCGUCGUGCCGUUGAAACUGAUGUUCUUGAGUGGGCGAGAGGUAGGCGGAAUGCGUGGUGUAGCGGUGAAAUGCAUAGAUAUCACGCAGAACUCCGAUUGCGAAGGCAGCAUACCGGCGCCCAACUGACGCUGAAGCACGAAAGCGUGGGUAUCGAACAGGAUUAGAUACCCUUGUAGUC